rnacentral:rRNA from 1 species
UUGGAGGGCAAGUCUGGUGCCAGCAGCCGCGGUAAUUCCAGCUCCAAUAGCGUAUAUUAAAGUUGUUGCAGUUAAAAAGCUCGUAGUUGAAUUUCGGGAUUGACGUGAUGGUCAUGCCUUAAGGGGUAUGAACUGUUGCUGUUGAUUUCUCACCUUCUGGAGAAACUUGAUGUCCUUAAUUGGGUGUCUUGCGGAUCCAGGACCUUUACCUUGAAAAAAUUAGAGUGUUUAAAGCAGGCAUUUUUGCUCGAAUACAUUAGCAUGGAAUAAUAGAAUAGGACGGCAUGGUUCUAUUUUGUUGGUUUCUAGGAUCACCGUAAUGAUUAAUAGGGAUAGUUGGGGGCAUUAGUAUUCAAUUGUCAGAGGUGAAAUUCUUGGAUUUAUUGAAGACUAACUACUGCGAAAGCAUUUGCCAAGGAUGUUUUCAUUAAUCAGUGAACGAAAGUUAGGGGAUCGAAGACGAUCAGAUACCGUCGUAGUCUUAACCAUAAACUAUGCCGACUAGGGAUCGGGCGGUGUUACUAUUUUGACUCGCUCGGCACCUUACGGGAAACCAAAGUGUUUGGGUUC